AUGGCGCCAUCUGCUGCCGCUGCACCCAGCAGCACCGAGGCUGACGGGGCACAGCGCAUGGCCAAGUUCCUCUGCAGCUUCGGAGGCAGCAUCCUGCCCCGCCCGCUCGACGGCCGUCUCCGCUACGUCGGGGGCGACACCAGGAUCGUCAUGCUGCCCCGUGACAUAUCCUACUCCGACCUGGCCGCGCGGAUGCGGGAGCUCUAUGACGAUGCCGAUAUCAUCAAGUACCAGCAGCCCGAUGAGGAUCUUGAUGCUCUGGUCUCGGUUGUAAAUGAUGAUGAUGUGGUCAACAUGAUGGAGGAAUAUGACAAGCUCAUUGCUGCUGGAGAGGGGUUCACUCGGCUCAGGGUCUUCUUAUUCUCCCAGCACCUGGAUGAUGAGGCUGCAUCAGCAGCUGUGCAUUACCAUGGGGACGAGCGGGAGACGGAGAGGAGGUAUGUUGAUGCGCUUAAUAGCCUUGGUGACAUGAGGUCGCCUUCAUCUCCUGUGUCAGUGGAGCAGCUUUUUGGCAUCGGAGGCAACGAGUCAGGAAUUCCUGAUAUUGCUGGCCUGCGGCAUUUGAAUGUUCCUCGUGCCUCACAUAAUCAGCGGUAUGCGGAGAUGGAUUCUCCUUGGAGCCCUGCAUAUAUCUCUCCGGGGCAGUAUGGAGUGCCCGAUCCAAGGGAUUUUCCCAUUUCACCAUCAUCUGCAAGGUUUCAAGUUGGAGCAGAGGACUUUGAUGAGAGGAUUCCUGAUGACUUUGUGAGGCAAUCACCAAAAUAUCGGCAUUACGAGGCUCAGUCACCGCCACAUGUGGAUAACUUGGUCUGGCUUCCACCUGGUGCUGUAAUUCAGCAAAAUGCUGGCUUCCCAGGGAAUUUGGGCCGCUCCAGCAAUUUCUUGGAUGGAAACAGUCUAUAUGACUCCCGUUCGUCAUUCCAGAAGGGUCAAGGUUCAGUGAGUGAUCCUCGUUAUAUGGAUCCCCGUUGGAGGCCAGUCCAACAACAUUUUGAUCAAUCGACCAUGGCAAGUGAGUAUUCUGCUCACCCCGCUAUUCCGCGUCCAGAUUAUGGUCGUCCUGGUGAGCAUUAUGUUGUAGGCCAAGAUGUUAGACUGGAAAAUGGUGUUUAUGUCAAAGAGCAAACUGGUGGUCACCCUCCCAUGUUCUACAACGAAUCACAUUCUCAUGAUAGGUCUUGGCAUGGGCAUCCCAACCAAAGCCAUCAACGGUAUGAGGAUCCAAGGUUGAAUCUGCCUGCUAAUGGUAGAGUGAUGGAUCCGUACGCUGAUAGCAACUCAGCUAAUUCUGCAUUUGCACCCAACAAAGUAUAUGAAAUGCAUUCAACAUCUCACAGCCGCUCAAGCCAUGAAAGUCCCCACUAUUAUCAUGGCAGUGGCCAGGGCGAGCAUAUGAAUGAUACAUAUCAUAACCAACAAGUUGUAAGUAGUGGCUCCUAUGUCCAGACAUCAGGUUUUGAAGAAUCGACAGGCCAGCAUUACAGCCAUACUUCAACAUAUGGUGGUGAUACCUUUUACCAAAUGCAGCAGAACUUGCCGCCACUUCAAUCGAUGAGAAGGAGAGCAAGCAGCCCUGUUCACACAGGCUCAUCAUAUGAAUCACCACACCUGCCGAUCCCAAAUGGGAGCAUCAACUCCAACUUUGUCAGAAACACAGGUGAUGUUAGUCCAAGGAUUCAUGGUAUGCCUGCAUAUGAUCGAGUCCCAAACCCAUGGCCUUCACCCAAUGGCAGCAUACCAUAUAGAAUCGUUGGACAUGAUGUUCCCACUGUUGUUGAAAACCCUUCUUCCCUUGGUUCUCGGUCAGGUCCAAACACUGCUCAGUAUGUUCAGCCUUUCUUUGCCCCAGAAUCAGUCCAGCAGCAACCAGGAGCUCCGUUGGUAGAAAUUUUUCCUGAAAGAGCAUCCGCUGGACCCAUGCUAGCACCGCUUGAUGGUAAAGUAUCUGUUGCUGCGGUACCCCUUGCUGAUCAUUUGUCCAGGUUGGACAUUAACACGACAAAGAAAUUUGAAGGAGCAGAUGAUGAAAGGCGCACUCAAAAUGUGACUGAAACAAAACCUUCACACGUUGCGAGUGACCCUAGCACCUUGGUUCACAAUGUUGGAGUUGAUCUCCAAUGGGGCAAACCUACAGAACAUGACGGUGGGGCUGUAGCAUUGCAGCAGUGUGGGGAUAUAUCGGAGAACAGAUUAAAUAUCCUUCCAGAGUUUGUUGCCUCUGUUAAAAAGGCCGCACUGGAAGAGUCUGAGAAGCCAGUAGAGGUUCAGCCAGAUGCUCGUCCAGCAAAUUUACCUGUUUGUGAUAAUGACAAUGAUGGAAAGAAGUUUGAUGAGAAUACUGAUGGAGAUCAGGACCCUGAUGUGCAUGGAAGCUGCGACCAGCACAAAAGUUCUGGGAUCGAAUCUACACCCGCUGAAGCUGAAGCUUUGUCUAAAGGAUUACAGACUAUAAGAAAUGAUGAUCUGGAGGAAAUCAGAGAGCUUGGUUCGGGUACUUAUGGGUCAGUCUUCCAUGGUAAAUGGAGGGGAUGUGAUGUUGCCAUCAAAAGAAUAAAAGCUAGUUGCUUUGACGGAAGGCCAUCCGAGAGAGAGCGCUUGAUAGCGGAUUUCUGGAAAGAAGCUCAGAUCCUGAGCUCGCUUCAUCAUCCAAAUGUAGUUUCAUUUUAUGGUGUUGUUCGUGAUGGUCCUGAUGGAAGCUUAGCAACUGUUACCGAGUUUAUGGUCAAUGGAUCUCUCAAACAAUUCCUGAGGAAGAAAGACAGGACAAUUGAUCGCCGCAAAAGGGUUAUAUUGGCCAUGGAUGCUGCAUUUGGCAUGGAAUAUUUGCAUGGGAAGAAUAUCGUCCAUUUUGAUCUCAAAUGUGAGAACCUACUGGUAAACAUGAGAGAUCCACAACGACCGAUCUGCAAGAUUGGUGAUCUUGGCCUAUCAAAGGUGAAGCAGCAUACUUUGGUGUCUGGUGGUGUUAGAGGAACCUUACCAUGGAUGGCACCCGAGCUUUUGAGUGGGAAAAGUGAUAUGGUGUCAGAGAAGAUUGAUGUCUACUCAUUUGGUAUUGUGAUGUGGGAGCUACUUACCGGGGACGACCCGUAUUCUGAUAUGCGUGCAGCCGAAAUUAUUGGGGGCAUCGUGAACAAUUCUCUUCGUCCUCAGAUCCCUUCCUGGUGCGAUCCUGAAUGGAAAUCAUUGAUGGAAGGUAGCUGGGCUGGUGAACCAGCUCAAAGGCCAUCCUUCACUGAAAUAUCUCAAAGGUUGCGGAAAAUGGCCGCAGCAAUGAAUGUUAAAUAA
rnacentral:rRNA from 1 species